CACGUAGGGGGCAAGCGUUGUCCGGAUUUAUUGGGCGUAAAGAGCUCGUAGGCGGUUCGCUAAGUCGGGUGUGAAACCUCCAGGCUCAACCUGGAGACGCCACCCGAUACUGGUGUGACUCGAGUCCGGUAGGGGAGCGUGGAAUUCCUGGUGUAGCGGUGAAAUGCGCAGAUAUCAGGAGGAACACCGGUGGCGAAGGCGGAUCUCUGGGCCUUACCUGACGCUGAGGCGCGAAAGCUAGGGGAGCAAACAGG
rnacentral:rRNA from 1 species